rnacentral:lncRNA from 1 species
CAAACAUAGAUACUGUUAAUGGAGUUGAUACUGUGAUCUUUUACGCUAAAGGUAAAUAUUUAUCUGGUAGAUUUCAUUAUUAUUAUUUUUAUUUUUUUUAUUUUUUUUAGAGUAAAAGUAGUCCCCUCCUCAAAAUAUAUGAAAACGGCUCAUCAUAUAGUCAUUGUCUGAUUGAAACAGUAUUUUGCAUUUUAUUAUGAAUGUCACAGUAACUAAUUUAUUUAAAAAAAUGUUGUAUUCAGGUAAAGAUAAUUGUAAAAAUUUGAAAUUUCUUUAUGCACGAAUCUCUUAAAAGUGGCAAAAAUAGCAUAUCAAUUGCAAACGAAUUGAGUUUAGACAGCAAAGGUUAUUGUGAAGGAGUAUAAGAUAUUGAAAACAUGAUAACAAAAAAUAUCAUGUUAAGGCCACUAUACCCUUAUGUUAGCUCUCAUUAUCAGAGAGAUUUGAUACUUUCAUAAUUAUAUUUUGUCUGGAAGGAGUCCUUCUAUGUAACUCAAGCUUUGUACAGAUAUGUUAAUAAUAUAUUUAGAACAUAUUUCCAUUUGUCAUUAUUUUUUUGGUGAAUCCUACUUUCUUUGCAGAUGUUUAAAUUGUUAAGUGUAUUUGUAUUUCAUAUAUCUAUUCGCGUCUUUAGCUUUCAAAUAUUCGACUCUGACCUUUUCUACGAAGAAAAGCGAUUCGAACGACGAAAAUGUAUACGUGUUUGGCUUCAGAUAUACAGUAAGGCAGCACGUAUGUUUGUUGCAUCAUCGUUUUAAAAUAGCAGAUGUUUUAUGAUUGUAAUCAAGACAAUCAUUCAGUUAAGGUUAAGGACUAAAAGUUGACAUUUCAAGUCCUAAGCUGAUUGUUAUCGUCAUUGUCUUGGUAAUAUUAAAGCUGAGUUUACGUGUUCUUAUUUCAUUAGUUUGUAUAGAUAUAUGACGUCUGUUCUGUGGUUUCUCAUAGUAAGAAUGAAAAAGCGACACUAUUAGAUGACGUCACAUAGACAGAACAUAUAUAUAUAUAUUCUCAGUGCAAAUUGUCAAAGAUUUUCUAAAUGUCGUCUUGACCUUGAAUGAGAAUAUGUUAACACAACAUCGUGGUCAUUCCAACAUACCUCAACAAAGCGUUAUCCUAGUUAUUAAGUCUGUGACGAAAAUUGUAUUGUAUAAGAAUCAAGGUAACUUUUUUCUUAUAGAAUCUGCUCUUUGGUUGGGUUGUGUCCUCAAUGAUCUUCAACUUUGUACUUGUUUGGCAUUAUUACUAUUUUGAUUUGGGCGUCACUGGUGAGUCUUAUGUAGACGAAACGCGCGUCUAGCGUAUUAAAUUAUCAUUCUGGUACCUUUGAUAACUAAUUUAUCUUGUAUAUUUAGUAUUUUUUUUAUAUUAGUGAAACGUAUUCCUCAGCCCAAAAUAUCCGGGAAAACAUUCCCCGUUUCUGUACUCAAUUUUGAUUUCCUAUUGUUAAACUUUUGAUUGUGAAUUAUCCACAAAAGACCACAAAUUGUCAUAGCGAUAAUCAAAACUAGUCAUAAAGAGUACGGUUAGAAAAAAAACAAUCACAAUGCUAGAACUUUAGAUGAAGUUUCCAACAAAUGCGCGUCAUUAACAAUGUAAACGACGUUAAACUAUAUUGGUAUAAUAAACAUAUUGUUUUAUUAUUUACAAACCAAAUAAAGUACCAUCGCAGUUUCAUAUAGCACAGUGAUAUUAAUCAAUGUAUGUGCAAGGAAAUAUCGAAUUUAUUUGACUAUCUCUUCCCAUGGGAUUAUUGUCAAACAUUCGUGUAAUUAAGGCAUUACAGACCAUAUUAUUGUUAGGAGUUAUUUUGUUUUUAUGUUAGUCCUGAUAUAAGAGAAAACAUAAAAACAUAAAAUUUACUUGUUUUCACAAAUAUUAAUUUUGAAUAAAUGAUAUUUAGUUAUAAAUAAUUAAAAAGAAACAAUAAAACAGUAUUUGUCGUCUUCUUCUAUUCGCAAAUUUGAUUGACUAUGACAUUUUGUUGCCGUGGAGUUUCCAAUUCGUCUUCGACUGACGAGUUCGAAUAUCUCUCAAAAAUCUUCCGCCUCUCUUCUAUUUUCAAAUUAAUUUAGUUUUUGUAUACUAACCUGCAUAUAUUUCUGUAUUUAAUGGUAAGUGAUUUAUUCAGACGAUAAAUGACUUUAGGAGAACUUUUAUGUAUGAAGAAUAACAAUCGAAACCAAGGAGUAAACAAAGACUAAAAACACCAAAGGACAUUUACAUCAAAAGUUAUAAAUAAGAAAUAACACGAACUCCACUAAAAACCGGGAGUGAAAUUAGGUGCUGAAGAUUGUAAAGAUAUUUACCAUAAAUAUCUUCCGUGAGGAACGAAACCGAUAGGAACAAUGUGAACAAUGAAUACAAGGAGAAGUAAAGAAUCAGAUCAACUCUAAAAUUAGUAGGCUGAUUUUCUUAACAGUUUGUAUAUAUAAAGGCUAUUUGUUAAGCCGAAAUAUAUGUCAACACGAUCUUUUAACCUCAUCUUUAAUAUUUUAAUUUAAAUCUUCUAUUAGACUUGUUAGGAAAGUCAACACUACUGCUGGCGCUCGUGUUGGGCGGAAUAUGAAUACAAUAUGAUGUGGGGGUCAUCUCCAAAAAGUAUAAAUACUAUAUCAUUUUUUAUUACCUGUAUGACCACUGAAAUACUUUAUUUAUAGUAUGCAAAUCAAUCAUUUUUAAAGACCCAACAUUAUAGACUUAAUGUGAAUUUUGAAAUAAAUUACGUGGGAUACCAGUAUUGAAGAUAUGAGUAUAACCAUACAUGUUACUGUAAUUAUUUGAUUUAAGAAUGCAACAUAUAAUAAAAACAUUAGGCAAAUACUGUAUAUGCCUUUUGUGGAGAAAAAGGGUGAGGAUGGCAUGUUUUUAUUUAGUUUCAGAAUCAACAAGAUCUUGCAAAAAAUUAAGGAACAAGAGUUUUUUCUCCUCUUAUUUAUGCAUGUGCCUGUCCCAAGUCAGGACCUGUAAUUCGUGGUAUUUUUGUAAUGUGUUACUUGUUUUUGCUCAUUUUUUUAUAUAGAUAAGGCCGUGCUUUUCUCGUUUGAAUUGUUUUACAUUGUCAUUUCGGGGCUUUUUAUAGCUGACUAUGCGGUAUGGGCUUUGCUCAUUGUUGAAGGUCGUACAGUUACCUAAUAGGGCUAAUUUCUGUGUCAUUUGGUCUCUUGUGGAGAUUGUUCUUUGGCAAUAUACCACAUCUUCUUUUUUAUGUUACUCCCAAUGAAACAAAUCAGCGUUAACGUCUAUAUUCUGAACGAUUAAAAAUACAAUAAGAGUAACACAAUUUAUUUUGGAUACUAGACAUAAGUUUCCCCUUUUACACAAGAUGAAUGCUCGAUGAUUUAUUAUAAAAUGCAAUUUUGGAAUUUUUUGGUUACGUGCCUAUUAUCUGAUAUUCCUUUAUUUAAUUUUUUUUCGCACGGCGUUUUCCGCCUUAAUUGAUGUCUCUUAUAUGGUGUAAAAAUUUGUGGUCAAAAAUUGACUUUUGACCGCUGAACUUGAAAAUGAAUUUGGUUACAUAUAUAUUCAUAAUGGUUAAGUAUAUGCCAAGUUAAGUAAAAAUCAAGUCUAGAGGUUAAAAUAGAUAACAAGCUUAAGAGUAACCUUGACCUUUGACCUCGUAACUUUAUAAGAUUCUAGAUAUUCAUAAGGACUACGUAUUAGCAAGUUUAAUCAAAAUCCUGGAACGACUGGAAAUUUACUUUUGACCGCUGAACUUGAAAAAAAGAUUAAUCUCAGAGUUAUCAAACACGCUUAUCCAUACAGGUAACAACAAUAUUUAGUUUUUUUACUUUUGAGAUGGUCCCAACAUCAUAUUGUAUUCAUCUGCCAUCCAACACGAGCGCCAGCAGUAGUGUCGACUUACCUAACACGUCUAUUAGUACCGUUGUGCAAGUUUUUUUACUUGACAAUUGUUUUCUUAUCUGCGCAGUAUCGUCUAUUCUAGACGGUACAUAUUAGAUUUGCUGUUUGAUCCGUUUUAUAGACUUAUAUAUAUGUAGUAUAAAAGUUAUCAAAUUGUACAUAUCAUUUGUUCAAAAGUGCUUGUACAAAAAUCUAUUUGUACAAAAUUUGUCUAAAAUUCAUCCACAAUAAUUUAUGGUACGGAGUUAAAACAUCAUUAAUUACAAUUUCGAUACUUAGAGGAUUAGUUGGGGCACGUGCAUACUGGUGAAUUUGUAUAAAGACAUAACCGUCCCUCUAUCAUCCCCCCUGCAACACACACACACAAACACAGCAAGUUCGGAUAACUUUCAUUUCGUUUUCGUAUGAUUGAUCACUCAGGAAUAUUUCUAUUAUACUAUCAGAAUUGUCACUGGUGCCAAUUGUUAUUAUUCUUUCAGAAUUGUCACUCAGGCAAAUUCUUCAUACUAUCAGAAAUGUAACUGGGCAGUGAAUCAAGGCAGCUGAACCAAAACACAUGUUUUCAUAAGAGUAUUUUGCAUGUUUUGAUUUUUAAGCAGCUGUUAAUAUGUGUUCACUAAACAUGCUAAAGAGGGAUUAUGAUGGAUAAUCUUUCAGAACUGACGCAUUUAUAUCGUGCUUCUAAUCAUCUAAAUAUGGUAAUUUACACCUUUGUUCGGUUUAGUAGUUGAAUAUUAAUGUCAAAUUCUUCACAGCUAAUUAUCUUUCCCUGUAUAUAACAUAAUUUAAAAAUGAUGUAUAUAAUAAUAGAGAAUAACAGAGAAUCGCCGCCUGCGUAGCAAAAAGGUAGAGCAUUGUCUUUUUGGUAAGGAUGUUACUUGUAAUAUUGAUAUUUUAUUGUUGAUUAUCACCAAUAUCUGAUAAUACUGGGUUUUGCAAUCCUUUAACACACAAACCUUUAUUUAUUUUAUGCUGUUGAAAAUAUCAGUUUGAUUUGGUUCGAGCAAAGUGUGUUUUCAUAAAAUGUAUAUUGUUUAUGAAUUGUACGAGUUAUUUUACUUGACAGAAUGUGCUUAUGGUUAAUUAAAUGUUCUUUAAUGACGACUAUAUCUUGGUCCGCGUUCAAAGGAACGAGUGGUCAGACAAUUCGAACACUCGAUUAUUUACAGGUAAAACUAUAUGAUUUACCGGGUUUAAGAAGAACUAUUUCUAGAACAUACUUUCUAAACAUUUGUUCUUUUUCUGUAUUGUUACACAAUUGUCGCGGGUUAUUGGAGGGUUAUCGACUUCAAACAUGUUUAUCCUCCCCAUAUUCUCUAUGUUCCUGUCAGAAAUGAGGAGCCUGUAGUUCAGGGGUUUUCGUUGGUCCAUGUCUGUCAUAUAUGUUUUUUCAUUAAUUGUUUUGAUGUUAAUAAGGCCGCUAGUUUUGUAAAUUGAAUUGUUUCAUAUCAUUCCUGUCAGGACGUUUUAUAGCCGAAUAUACGUUAUUGGUUUUUCUCAUUGUUAAAAGCAUUAUGUUGUUUAUAAUUGCAUACAUCCACUUCAUUUUAUGUUGUUUAUAAUUGCAUACAUCCACUUCAUUCGAACUUUGGUGAGUAUGUUUUUUACUGGCAGUCAAAUUAUAUCUCCUCAUUUAUGUACCUAAAAAAAUUCGGUACAAAAAAGGUUUCAUAUCAAAGAUGAAAAAAGAGGUAUAUUAGCCACAAGAGACAAACUUAUACAGAAAUUAACAUCUGUAUGUCAACGUACGGUUUCCUCAAUUAGUAAAACUCAUCCGGCAUAGUCAGCUAUAAAAAGCUUGAAAUGAAAAAUGUAAAACAAUUCAAACGAGAAGACAAACAAAACAAAGUAAUGAACGAUAAACAAAUAAGAUAUACAGCAAUAAACGAAACCUUCGAAUUAAAAGCUCCUAACUUGGUACAGGCACAUACAUAAUAUGGCAGGUUUAAACUAGUUUGGUGGCAACUAUAAGAUUAGUUCUAUCUAUUACCAGCAGCUUGUUGGUGCCAAUUGUUAUUGCGGCGUAAACAACUUUCAGCAUGAUAUAUGUGUUCAGUUUAUUUAUAUCACACUAUACAGUAAGUGUUUUGCUCAAUACCAAAGACCGCACAGUAUCUGCUUACCCUUCCUAAGCACCUGAGAUCACCCCCUGUUUUUUGUGGGGUUCGUGUUGCUCAGUCUUUAGUUUUCUAUGUUGUUUCUUAUGUACUAUUAUUUGUCUGUUUGUCUUUUUCUUUUUUAGCCAUGGCGUUGUCAGUUUAUUUUCGAUUUAUUAGUUUGACUUUUCCUCUGGUAUCUUUCGCCCCUCUUUUAUUACUCUGACGACGAAACAAAAAACCAUAACGGGAGGGCAAUACGAAUGGCAUAAUUUGAAUAAUGACAAAAUAACACAGAAAGAAAUGAUUCGAAAAAUUCUAAUUAUUUUACCAAAGUUGACAUUAAGAACGUAUCUUCACCAAGUUAAUGUAUCCAAUUCAAACAUUAUCAUCUGUAAUUUUGCAAACACUACACACAAAAUGAGUUGAGAUUCAAGUUAGUUCAUGAACACUAUUUGCAGUUUAAUGCAAAAGUAAAGUAAACUUGAUUAAACUUCAGUGGUUGUCGGUUUUUUUUAUGUGUUUCAUAAUUGUUUCUCGUUCAUUUUUUUUAUAUAAAUAAGGCCGUUAGUUUUCUCGUUUGAAUUGUUUUACAUUGUCUUAUACGGUGACCUAUAGUUGUUAAUGUCUGUGUCAUUUUGGUCUCUUGUGGACAAUAGUCUCAUUGGCAAUCAUACCACAUCUUCUUUUUUUAUUAGAAUACAAGGAAGACAUUUUUAAAAGAGUUGAAGAAUAUUUUUUGUUUUUCAGUUACAAUGGCGACAGUAAAUGUUCCUUCUGUGUCAAAGAAAACAUUAUCAACUAUAUCAGUUUUCGACAAGAACACAGUUGAUAUAAAAGUCAGCCAUUCUUCAAAAAAUGCAACUGUAACAUAUGAUAACCAGAAAACAAAUACUGGAACCUAUCAAUUUGCAGAAAAACCUGCAGGAAAAAUAAAAGGAAUGAUAUCGGAUCUGGAACUCAUGUGAUGGAUGAAAAUAUACA